rnacentral:rRNA from 1 species
CAAAGGUUAAUUCCGGUGGCGGAUGGGCAUGCGUCGCAUUAGUUAGUUGGCGGUGUAACGGACCACCAAGACGACGAUGCGUAGGGGUUCUGAGAGGAAGGUCCCCCACACUGGUACUGAGACACGGACCAGACUCCUACGGGAGGCAGCAGUGAGGAAUAUUGGUCAAUGGGCGGGAGCCUGAACCAGCCAAGUCGCGUGAGGGAUGACGGCCCUAUGGGUUGUAAACCUCUUUUGCCGGGGAGCAAAGUGCCGCACGUGUGCGGUUUGGAGAGUACCCGGAGAAAAAGCAUCGGCUAACUCCGUGCCAGCAGCCGCGGUAAUACGGAGGAUGCGAGCGUUAUCCGGAUUUAUUGGGUUUAAAGGGUGCGUAGGCGGACGCUUAAGUCAGCGGUAAAAUUGCGGGGCUCAACCUCGUCGAGCCGUUGAAACUGGGUGCCUUGAGUGGGCGAGAAGUACGCGGAAUGCGUGGUGUAGCGGUGAAAUGCAUAGAUAUCACGCAGAACUCCGAUUGCGAAGGCAGCGUACCGGCGCCCAACUGACGCUGAGGCACGAAGGCGUGGGUAUCGAACAGGAUUAGAUACCCUGGUAGUCCACGCAGUAAACGAUGAAUGCUAGUUGUCCGGGGCGAUUGAGUUCUGG